UUUGGCCUCAGACAUUUCACCCUGCAGCCCAAAACUGGUUACUCACUGAAGCUAAGCAGGGCUGAGCCUGCAGUACCUGUAUAGAAGACUACAUGGAAAAACUAGGUUGCUGCUGAAA
rnacentral:rRNA from 1 species